AAGAGAUCGAGAGCCAAAUUGAAUUGUUGGUAAAUGAGUGAGGUUGAAUCUUAACAGCUUGUCAGGUUCACUUUCUCCAUCUAUCGGCAAUCUAACUGCAUUAAUAAACCUGGACUUCGGCG